UACGGAGGGUGCAAGCGUUAUCCGGAUUCACUGGGUUUAAAGGGUGCGUAGGUGGGCAGGUAAGUCAGCGGUGAAAUCCCCGAGCUUAACUUGGGAACUGCCAUUGAUACUAUCUGUCUUGAAUACCUUGGAGGUGAGCGGAAUAUGUCAUGUAGCGGUGAAAUGCUUAGAUAUGACAUAGAACACCAAUUGCGAAGGCAGCUCACUGGACCGGUAUUGACGCUGAGGUGCGAAAGCGUGGGGAGCAAACAGG
rnacentral:rRNA from 1 species